rnacentral:rRNA from 1 species
UACAGGGGGUGCAAACGUUGCUCGGAAUCAUUGGGCGUAAAGCGCACGUAGGCGGUUCGUUAUGUCGGAUGUGAAAGCCCUUGGCUUAACCGAGGAAGUGCAUCCGAAACUGGCGAGCUAGAGUACGAAAAGAGGAUCGCGGAAUUCCCGGUGUAGAGGUGAAAUUCGUAGAUAUCGGGAGGAACACCGGUGGCGAAGGCGGCGAUCUGGGUAGAUACUGACGCUGAGGUGCGAAAAGCGGUGGGGAGCAAACAGG